UAAAACCAUGAGUUCAGUUUGUUAUUUGUUUCUAGUGAAGAAGAUACUGCCUCCAGAUGAUCCAAAGAUGAUAGUUAAGACACAGAAGGGAAGACAAGAGGUGCAACAUGUUCCCAAUCCUUUGAAGACUGUGUAUAGUCAAACUGUGUGAAAGGACUCACAGAUAGCAGCCCUGCGUGUGUGAGUGGGCGCGGACCUCAUUCAGCAAUGAUUUCUAAUUUAUACAGCACCGAAAAUUCACAGCUAUAAAUAAACAGUUCUGACUGGCUCUGCUGCCUACUCAAAUGCUUUAUUAAAAAAAAAAAAAAAUAAAGCACCAACUCCAUUUGGA
ensembl:lncRNA